CGGCGGACGGGUGAGUAACACGUGGAUAACCUACCUAUAAGACUGGGAUAACUUCGGGAAACCGGAGCUAAUACCGGAUAAUAUAUUGAACCGCAUGGUUCAAUAGUGAAAGACGGUUUUGCUGUCACUUAUAGAUGGAUCCGCGCCGCAUUAGCUAGUUGGUAAGGUAACGGCUUACCAAGGCAACGAUGCGUAGCCGACCUGAGAGGGUUAUCGGCCACACUGGAACUUAGACACGGUCCAG
rnacentral:rRNA from 1 species